rnacentral:tRNA from 1 species
CCGAGUGUAGCUCAGUUGGUAGAGCGAAUGACUGUAGUGUUCUAUACUGUGUUUCAGUAUUCUCGGAAAUCAAUUGGUCGCUGGUUCGAUUCCGGCCACUCGGA